rnacentral:rRNA from 1 species
GGGGGGGGGGGGGGGGGGGGGGGGGGCGGGGGGGGCGGGCGGGGGGGGGGGGGGCUUGCUCCUGUGACGUUAGCGGCGGACGGGGGAGGAACACGUGGGUAACCUACCUAUAAGACUGGGAUAACUUCGGGAAACCGGAGCUAAUACCGGAUAAUAUAUUGAACCGCAUGGUUCAAUAGUGAAAGACGGUUUUGCUGUCACUUAUAGAUGGAUCCGCGCCGCAUUAGCUAGUUGGUAAGGUAACGGCUUACCAAGGCAACGAUGCGUAGCCGACCUGAGAGGGUGAUCGGCCACACGGGAACUGAGACACGGUCCAGACUCCUACGGGAGGCAGCAGUAGGGGAUCUUCCGCAAUGGGCGAAAGCCUGACGGAGCAACGCCGCGUGAGUGAUGAAGGUCUUCGGAUCGUAAAACUCUGUUAUUAGGGAAGAACAAAUGUGUAAGUAACUAUGCACGUCUUGACGGUACCUAAUCAGAAAGCCACGGCUAACUACGUG